rnacentral:lncRNA from 1 species
UAAGUUGCCUCCUUUAUUUCUUACUUCUCUUUGUGACAUCAUCAUUGUCCACAUCAUCUGGCCCCUGGUCCCAUCUGUCUUGGGCAGGUGGCUGGAAAUUUGAGCCAGUGUCCCGGGGAGAUACUACCAGACUUCCUCCACGGAAGACAGGAGCAUAAAUGACUGGAAGAGCGGAGAGCUGGAUGGAGUAUGGUGCAAGGAACAGCUUCUUCUCUACGCAUGGCUCUGUGUGCAGUGUUCGCCUGAUUCUGAAGAUG